ensembl:lncRNA
AGAGCACUGAGGAGGGGCGGCCCGCGGGGCUCAGGUGAGCCCCCUGAGGGCAGGGCAGGGCUGGGCUGCGCGGCCACAGACCGCGGCCACACCUCGGCACCCCGGAAAGCGGCCUGAGGGUGGUAGGGCGGUGCCCUGGAGGAAGGCUGCAGAGGUUCCAGAUGGACUCCCGUGCAGUGCUGGCAGUUGGCGUGCUGUAGCGGCGGUGAUGUCCCGUUUCCCGCCACUUGACCGAUCGUCUUCUCUCACAGUCUCCCGAAGAUGUGUUGUGCUCGUUCCCCCAUGCAUAAUACCUCUGCUCUGCGCUGUACGUCUGCUCGGUGUUCCUUCUGGAGCAGCAAGGCUUGAAGGUGCAGGUGGCCCAGGGCAUGGGUUGUAUGCUGCAGAUCCGUGUGUACUUCUUGGGAGGUUUUCUGUAGUUCAGCCUGUACAAGAAGGAUGCCAAAGAUGCUGUGAAGGCUGG